UAUCAAAUUUAGUGGCAAUGACUGAAAUUAGGAAAAUAAGUACAAUUGAUUGCUGAAACAACAUGUGGACAGUUGGAAGCCAAGUGAGGUUUGUUCAACAAGAAUCAUCCUGAUAAAUUUGAUCCCUAUCUUUUUUCAGAUACUUUUGUGGAGAAAGAUGAAAUUAAGUCAGUGUCAGCAAUGGUGGGAGAAACUGUCACGCUACACACUGAUGUCACCGAAAUACAGGAAAAUGAGCUGAUACGGUGGAAGUUUGCCGAUUCCAAAGUAUACAAACUCGCUGAAUUUUUUGUCAUAGCUAAAUGGGAUAAAACAAACAAUGAGGAAUACCUACAUGAUGACAAAAAAUUCAAAGACAGGUUGCAUCUGGACCACAAUACUGGAUCUCUGAUCAUCACAAACGUCACACCUAAACACUAUGGACAUUACAAACUGCACAUCACCAGUGAGGGACAGAAGAUCUCAAAGACGUUCAAUCUUGUUGCUCAUGUCCCAAAGAAAAGACAGAGUACAAUCCUGAGGAGAGAAACUUGCCCUUGAUAACAGAAUGGGAGUAUAUAUAAUCCACAUGUCAGUUCAAUUGCCAAAACAAUGGAACAUAGUUCUACUUUUUUAUACAGCCAUCUAAAAUCCCAAAUAUACUUUGUGUGUGUGCAGUUUAAGCUGACAUAAAACAGUAGUUUGUCACACUACACCUAUCUGACAGGAGACAGUGGCUAAUUACUGUAAACACAAGAGUAAACAGCUAAACCAUUGUCCCACAGUAUGCAAGCUCUGAAAAAAAUCCAUUUGUAUUAUAUUUUAUUCUUUCCCCUUAUAAUUUUUCAUGCAUUCACAAGGUGUCCUGGAAGAACAACAAAACUAUUUCGUUUUUUCACUAUGUAAUUUUAGUGUCUUUGCAAUUUAUGUAGGCCUAUUGUAAAAAAAA